CUAAUUAAGGUGAAACCGCGAAUGGCUCAUUAAAUCACACCUAAUCUACUGGAUUGUUCCUGUUACUUGGAUAACUGCGGUAAUUCUGGAGCUAAUACAUGCGAAAAAGCCUCAACUUACGGCGAGGCGCUUUUAUUAGACCAAAACCAAACGGUUCUACCGUUACUCUGGUGAUUCUGAAUAACUUUUUGCAGAUCGCACGGAUUAAUUCCGGCGACAAAUCCAUCGAAGGUGUGCCCUAUCAACUGUCGACUGUGGUAUAGACGUCCACAGUGGUUUUGACGGGUAACGGGGAAUUAGGGUUCGAUUCCGGAGAGGGAGCCUGAGAAACGGCUACCACUUCUAAGGAAGGCAGCAGGCACGCAAAUUACCCAAUGGUCGAAGACCGAGGUAGUGACGAAAAAUAACGAUACCGGACUCAUCCGAGGCCCGGUAAUCGGAAUGAGUACACUUUAAAUCCUUUAACGAGGAUCCA
rnacentral:rRNA from 1 species